rnacentral:rRNA from 1 species
AUUGAACGCUAGCGGGAUGCUUUACACAUGCAAGUCGAACGAGUGGCGGACGGGUGAGUAAUAUAUCGGAACGUGCCCAGUAGAGGGGGAUAACUACUCGAAAGAGUGGCUAAUACCGCAUACUAUUGGAGCGGCCGAUAUCGGAUUAGCUAGUUGGUGGGGUAAAGGCUCACCAAGGACACGAUCCGUAGCUGGUUUGAGAGGGCGACCAGCCAUACUGGCACGGAGACACGGGCCAGACGCCUACGCGAGGCAGCAGUGGGGAAUUUGGGACAAUGGGGGACAGCCUGAUCGAGCCAUCCCGCGUCACUGAGUAGGUCUUCGCGCCGUAAAGCACUUAUGGCUGCGAACCGGUAUCGGCAGAAUAAGCACCGGCUAACUACGUGCCAGCCGCCGCGGUAAUAC